AGCGAACGCUGGCGGCAGGCUUAACACAUGCAAGUCGAGCGGGCAUCCUUGUGGUGUCAGCGGCAGACGGGUGAGUAACGCGUGGGAACGUGCCCUUCGGUUCGGAAUAACUCAGGGAAACUUGAGCUAAUACCGGAUACGUGCGAGAGCAGAAAGGUUUAUCUGCCGAAGGAUCGGCCCGCGUCUGAUUAGCUAGUUGGUGAGGUUAUGGCUCACCAAGGCGACGAUCAGUAGCUGGUCUGAGAGGAUGAUCAGCCACACUGGGACUGAGACACGGCCCAGACUCCUACGGGAGGCAGGAGUGGGGAGUAUUGGACAAUGGGGGCAACCCUGAUCCAGCCAUGCCGCGUGAGUGAUGACGGCCUUAGGGUUGUAAAGCUCUUUUCUCCGGGACGAUAAUGACGGUACCGGAGGAAUAAGCCCCGGCUAACUUCGUG
rnacentral:rRNA from 1 species